rnacentral:rRNA from 1 species
UACGUAGGGUCCGAGCGUUGUCCGGAGUUACUGGGCGUAAGCGCGCGCAGGCGGCGGUGCUGGCCCGGCGUGAAAGCCCCCGGCUCAACCGGGGAGAGUCGUCGGGGACCGCACCGCUUGAGGGCGGUAGGGGCUGGUGGAAUGCCUGGUGUAGUGGUGAAAUGCGUAGAUAUUGGGAAGAACACCUGAGGCGAAGGCGGGUCUCUGGGCCGAUACUGACGCUGACGGAGCGAAAGCGUGGGGAGCGAACAGG